rnacentral:rRNA from 1 species
AUUGAACGCUGGCGGCAUGCCUUACACAUGCAAGUCGAACGGUAACGCGGGGCAACCUGGCGACGAGUGGCGAACGGGUGAGUAAUGCAUUGGAACGUACCCAGUUGCGGGGGAUAGCUCGGCGAAAGCCGGAUUAAUACCGCAUACGACCUACGGGUGAAAGCGGGGGAUCGCAAGACCUCGCGCAGUUGGAGCGGCCGAUGUCAGAUUAGGUUGUUGGUGGGGUAAAGGCUCACCAAGCCGACGAUCUGUAGCUGGUCUGAGAGGACGACCAGCCACACUGGGACUGAGACACGGCCCAGACUCCUACGGGAGGCAGCAGUGGGGAAUUUUGGACAAUGGGGGCAACCCUGAUCCAGCCAUGCCGCGUGCGGGAAGAAGGCCUUCGGGUUGUAAACCGCUUUUGUCGGGGAAGAAAUCUUCCGGGCUAAUACCCCGGGAGGGUGACGGUACCCGAAGAAUAAGCACCGGCUAACUACGUGCCAGCCGCCGCCGUAA